rnacentral:rRNA from 1 species
UACGGAGGGUGCAAGCGUUAUCCGGAUUUACUGGGUUUAAAGGGUGCGUAGGCGGAUAGGUAAGUCAGGGGUGAAAUCUUCGAGCUUAACUCGGAAAUUGCCUUUGAUACUAUCUAUCUUGAAUAUUGUGGAGGUAAGCGGAAUAUGUCAUGUAGCGGUGAAAUGCUCAGAUAUGACAUAGAACACCUAUUGCGAAGGCAGCUUACUACGCAUAUAUUGACGCUGAGGCACGAAAGCGUGGGGAUCAAACAGG